rnacentral:rRNA from 1 species
CAGCAGCCGCGGGAAUACGUAGGUGGCAAGCGUUGUCCGGAAUUAUUGGGCGUAAAGCGCGCGCAGGUGGUUUAAUAAGUCUGAUGUGAAAGCCCACGGCCCAACCGUGGAGGGUCAUUGGAAACUGUUAAACUUGAGUGCAGGAGAGAAAAGUGGAAUUCCUAGUGUAGCGGUGAAAUGCGUAGAGAUUAGGAGGAACACCAGUGGCGAAGGCGGCUUUUUGGCCUGUAACUGACACUGAGGCGCGAAAGCGUGGGGAGCAAACAGGAUUAGAGACCCGCGUAGUCCCUGUCUCUUAUAC